rnacentral:rRNA from 1 species
UACGAAGGGGGCUAGCGUUGCUCGGAAUCACUGGGCGUAAAGCGCACGUAGACGGCUUCUUAAGUCAGGGGUGAAAUCCUGGAGCUCAACUCCAGAACUGCCUUUGAUACUGGGAGGCUCGAGUCCGGGAGAGGUGAGUGGAACUGCGAGUGUAGAGGUGAAAUUCGUAGAUAUUCGCAAGAACACCAGUGGCGAAGGCGGCUCACUGGCCCGGUACUGACGCUGAGGUGCGAAAGCGUGGGGAGCAAACAGG